GUACGGGAGGCAGCAGUAAGGAAUAUUGGACAAUGGAGGGAACUCUGAUCCAGCCAUGCCGCGUGAAGGAUGAAGGCGCUCAGCGUUGUAAACUUCUUUUGGAUGGGAACAAUAACUUCUACGUGUAGGAGCUUGAGGGUACCAUCAGAAUAAGCACCGGCUAACUCCGUGCCAGCAGCCGCGGUAAUACGGAGGGUGCAAGCGUUAUCCGGAAUCACUGGGUUUAAAGGGUGCGUAGGCGGUGGCGUAAGUCAGUUGUGAAAUUCCCCGGCUUAACCGGCGGGACUGCGAUUGAUACUGCGUCACUUGAAUCAGGAUGAGGUAGGCGGAAUGUGACAUGUAGCGGUGAAAUGCUUAGAUAUGUCAUAGAACACCGAUUGCGAAGGCAGCUUGCUGGACCUGUAUUGACGCUGAGGCACGAAAGCGUGGGGAGCAAACAGGAUUAGAUACCCCGGU
rnacentral:rRNA from 1 species